rnacentral:misc_RNA from 1 species
GAUGAAGAACGCAGCGAAAUGUGAUAAUUAAUGUGAAUUGCAGAAUUCCGUGAAUCAUCGAGUCUUUGAACGCACAUUGCGCCUCAUGGCAUUCCGUGAGGCAUGCCCAUCUCAGCGUUAGAAAAUAUUCUCAAAUUUUAGUUUUGUGCUAAAAUUUGGAUCAUGUCAAGGAAGCUAUUACUAUUAUUGUGAUCGCUCUUUGGAAAUUGAUAGGUCUUUGAGUUGCUACUCAUAGAACGUGAUGAAUCUUUCUUCGUUCUAUUGUAAUUCACUCUGGUAGUCCUAAAACUUGUAUGCCUGUGGCAUAUCUUGUAAUUUGACCUGAGAUUGGGUAGGGAUACCCGCUGAACUUAAGCAUAUCAAUAAGCGGAGGA